GAUGAACGCUGGCGGCGUGCCUAAUACAUGCAAGUCGAGCGAACAGACGAGGAGCUUGCUCCUCUGACGUUAGCGGCGGACGGGUGAGUAACACGUGGAUAACCUACCUAUAAGACUGGGAUAACUUCGGGAAACCGGAGCUAAUACCGGAUAAUAUAUUGAACCGCAUGGUUCAAUAGUGAAAGACGGUUUUGCUGUCACUUAUAGCUGGAUCCGCGCCGCAUUAGCUAGUUGGUAAGGUAACGGCUUACCAAGGCGACGAUGCGUAGCCGACCUGAGAGGGUGAUCGGCCACACUGGAACGGAGACACGGUCCAGACUCCUACGGUAGGCAGCAGUAGGGAAUCUUCCGCAAUGGGCGAAAGCCUGACGGAGCAACGCCGCGUGAGUGAUGAAGGUCUUCGGAUCGUAAAGCUCUGUUAUUAGGGAAGAACAACUGUGUAAGUAACUAUGCACGUCUUGACGGUACCUAAUCAGAAAGCCACGGCUAACUACGUG
rnacentral:rRNA from 1 species